rnacentral:rRNA from 1 species
CCUACGGGAGGCAGCAGUGAGGAAUCUUCCACAAUGGGCGAAAGCCUGAUGGAGCAACGCCGCGUGCAGGAUGAAGGCCUUCGGGUUGUAAACUGCUUUUAUAAGUGAGGAUUAUGACAGUAACUUAUGAAUAAGGAUCGGCUAACUACGUGCCAGCAGCCGCGGUCAUACGUAGGAUCCGAGCGUUAUCCGGAGUGACUGGGCGUAAAGAGUUGCGUAGGUGGUUCGAUAAGCGAAUAGUGAAAUCUGGUGGCUCAACCAUUCAGACUAUUAUUCGAACUGUUGAACUCGAGAGCAGAAGAGGUAGCUGGAAUUUCUAGUGUAGGAGUGAAAUCCGUAGAUAUUAGAAGGAACACCGAUGGCGUAGGCAGGCUACUGGGCUGUUUCUGACACUGAGGCACGAAAGCGUGGGGAGCGAACCGGAUUAGAUACCCCAGUAGUC